UGUAAUAGGUAGCCCAGCAUUGGUGUCCAUGGUUCCUGUCCAUUGCAUUUUAUUUUAAUGGGGAAUUUGAAUGUGAUAUAGUGGCAGGCAGGCAUGCAUCUACAUCAGUACAUGGGGAAAAAGGGACAAGCUAAUGCACAAAGGUUCCAUUAUUAAAUACAAUGACAAUGUCAUCUUGUAAUGAAUAAAUUAAAUUGAGGCUCCCCAAGCUAUCUGGAUGUGAUCUCCUUAUGCUCAGCACAGAAAGUAUGCUAAUAUUUACUUAAUCCAUAAAAACCAAACCCCACUUGCAUAGGAGACAUGAUUACUGAGAAUUUUAAAAUAUAAUUUUCACAACCCAAUGUGUUAUGGCCACUUCAAGUUUGUUUUUGAGUAUCAUAAAUGAGCACUUGUCCAUCGAUGUCUUUAUCUGUAUUUGAACAAUGUCUUGAGAAUUUGGGUAUGGUUUUCUAUUGCAUUCCAGAUGUUGACAUUCUCAAAAAUCACGACACUGUUAUUGUGUACGGUAUCAGUGGUCUAGAGGGAAGCCUACAUUGCACAAAGGUAUUGGGACAUGCCCGAACACGCACGAAGGGUUCAGCUUCGGCCUACCUCGGCUUUGUUUUUGUAAAACGUAAACAUUACGGACCCGGUGUAUUUAUGGUAAUCGAAAACUCAUUAAAUGUUAUGGCAUGUGGAGACAUGUUGCUUAUAUAUUAAACCUUGGACGCCCGAUGCAAAUGAAGAAUUAAUGAAUUGAUCCUCGUUAUAACUGUGCGUUUGUUUGAUUACACUUAAAAUGUUAUUUCUUUGUUAUGAUAGUUAUUAAGAAUGUUAAAAUAAAAAUUAUUUUAUGAAAAAAAAAAAAUUAAUAACCUUUUACUUCUCAAAUGUGGGUGUUUCAGAUGGAUAAAUAAUGCUGUCAAUUGUACAGAAAGAAAAGUGUAAAGAUUUUUUGCUGAACAUUCAUAAUAAAUGAUUUCACAGUUUAACUUGAUAGGUAUCUUUAAAACACAUGUGCAGCUAUUAGCACAAGAAAAAAUUUUUAAGAUUAAAUGCCCUUAAAAAUUAUUGUUUACAUACUCAAUUUCAUAGUACUGUUCAUGUUACAGGACAUAAAUUAUUUCAUUAAAAACUGUACACACAUUUUAAUGAAGCACAUAACCUUUUACAUAUAUGGUAUAGGUUGGAAGAAAAAAAUGUUGAUUUAGGGAUACAUUCACCCAAUGUCUAAAUAUAGAUUAAACCAAUAUACAGUACAUGGAUAGGGUUUUUCUUAGGUGGGGCUGUUGCAGAUCUAAUAAUACAAAAGAAAGAGAUGACUGUUGACCUUGACAUUUUCUAAAUGUUUAUUACUCAAAGUCAAAUUUCAUAAAUAAAUAUAAUCUUUUUGAUUGGAAAUUUAGGCUUAACUUUCUUAUAAAUUAAUGUAUUAUUUCUAAACUGAGCAUUACCAAAACAAACCUUAGACAGUAAUAUUUUCUCUUUAGAUUCUACCACCAGGUGACACUCCUAUGCAUCUACAUAGUCUAAAAUCACACUAUUUUAUUACGAAAACAUCAGUAUCUACCUAUAUGUACAAUGACUUUUAUUGUAGGGAACCAAAUCUAUUUACUUCAAAUGUUAAAAAUGUUGUUAUCUAGUUUGUUUGCAAAGUUAUCUUUUCUAUUCUGGUAACACACUAAUAUAACAUGCUAUAGAUACAAAGAGAAAUAUGUAUUAUAGUGAAACACUUAUAAACUAAACAAUAUUUGUGUAGAGAAAUUGAAUAACAAUUUUCUGGAAUGCUUGUAACAAAUCAAUCUACCAUAAUACAUACUUUAUCUCAACUUUGUGUAAUAUUAUGUACUACAAUUAAUUUUUUUUUAGGUAUUAAAUUUAUAAAUCAAAUUACUUAAUUAGUUCUAGAGUAAGUAAUUAUACAUUUUUACAGUUUGGCAAAUAUUCUUGUUAUAAAUAAUGUGUCUGUAUGAAUGCAAUUACAAAUAUCAAGGACUUUGGAUAAGUAACAGAAAUACCUAUUCAACACAUUUAGAAUGGAAUUCAUAAAGUUGUUGACCGGAGCGCUGCUCCCGUAGUAAUUGUGAAUUCUCCAGCUGCUCAGUAGAGUGGUUGGGGCCUUCAGGCAGAGGGAUCUAGCUUACCACAGGUUUAAAUGAAAAAGCAAGUGCCGUUUUAAUGUUCUUCGCAAUCCCUGUGCAUGAGGCUGUGGGGCCUUUCCCCUGUGACAAACCAUUUGAGUGAAGCCCAGCUCCACGCACGUCACGUUGACCCUAAUCUGUCCAGACGUAGCGAUGUAAAGUCCAUAACUCAUAAGGUGUAAACUCACAAGGACAUAUCGCGGCAAUUAAACUAUAGUCGGGUAACAGAGGAGACUAGUGACGAAACACACGUUGACAAUAUGUACAAGAUAGGCGCUCGAAGCCGGAAUGUUAGGCCUAAACACAUCCCUACGCACCCACCGUAUAACCCGCAGAGUGGUCUAGUAAGGCAAACUAUGGACUGGCCAUGGUGGCGUAUCCCUCCAGCUGCAGUACGUGAAAACUAUAUACAAUACUGGUGCAUGACCCUGAUGCUGACACGUCCACUCUUACGUAUACGUAACUAGCUAAGACUGAAGUUAGAUAUUAGGUAUACACCGUGCAACCCAUAGAAUGUUCCAGUAAGACAGGUUACUGACUGUUUCGUAUAACAUAAUCCUAAACUACAAUUCCUGGAAGAUAUUUACAACACAAAGGCGUAGCAAUGCUGAAGACAUGUUUGUGCCUACAUAAAGCAACUCACUAAGACUGAAGAUAGAGAGUGGGCGACUGACUGAAACAACUAGACUGACUUGUUAUAACAGAAAAUAACACGGUCCUAAGUAAUGUACCAGCUGGUCGAUGGCACAAAGGUCAUACUUCUCAUAAGCAGCGACACUGCGUCCUCCGAUGCUUGGCGUGGUGCCUGCUUGCCUGCCUCCUUAUAGGUGCUCAUCAUAGAGAUUCCUACUUGGUGGUUGUAAUCUUGAAAUGUAACCUAGAGCAUAUGUUGUACGAACAUAAACUCUCAGAAGUGAUGGCCACCUGUACCUUAUUUCUGAUAUUUGCAAAUAUUUCUUUUUGUACUAUACCAAGCAAAAUAAACUUGGCAGUACAUAGACAACAGUAUGUACAAAAUCUCAAAACACGAGUAUAAAACUAUUCAAGACAAAUUUGAUAUCACAUGGUAAAUAUGAAUAUUUAAAGUUGUUUUGAAAGGACCUUAUUUCUGCUAGUUGCCAAUGUUCCUUUUGUUCCUCACAAAAAAAAUGCAAUACAUAAACAAUAGUAUGUACUAAACCUCAAAACACAAAUUAAAAAAAAAAUGUUUAUAUAGUCAGUCACACAAUUAUUCUCUUCACUGACUAACUGAACCUAGUCCCAGUGGUAUAAUCAGGAUCCUAUGUGGUUUCUGGUUCAAAUAUCAUCUUGAAUAGGUACAUACAUUGUUUUUAUAUUAAGUUUUAAGCAGUCUUCCACUAAGCCUUCUGACAUGGUGAAAAUAAUGUUGUGUAAAAUAAAAUAAA